AACGAACGCUGGCGGCAUGCCUAACACAUGCAAGUCGAACGAGACCUUCGGGUCUAGUGGCGCACGGGUGCGUAACGCGUGGGAAUCUGCCCUUGGGUUCGGAAUAACAGUGAGAAAUUACUGCUAAUACCGGAUGAUUUCUUCGGACCAAAGAUUUAUCGCCCAGGGAUGAGCCCGCGUAGGAUUAGCUAGUUGGUGGGGUAAUGGCCUACCAAGGCGACGAUCCUUAGCUGGUCUGAGAGGAUGAUCAGCCACACUGGGACUGAGACACGGCCCAGACUCCUACGGGAGGCAGCAGUGGGGAAUAUUGGACAAUGGGCGCAAGCCUGAUCCAGCAAUGCCGCGUGAGUGAUGAAGGCCUUAGGGUUGUAAAGCUCUUUUACCCGGGAUGAUAAUGACAGUACCGGGAGAAUAAGCUCCGGCUAACUCCGUG
rnacentral:rRNA from 1 species